rnacentral:rRNA from 1 species
UACGUAGGGGGCUAGCGUUGUCCGGAAUCAUUGGGCGUAAAGCGCGUGUAGGCGGCCCGGUAAGUCCGCUGUGAAAGUCGGGGGCUCAACCCUCGAAUGCCGGUGGAUACUGUCGGGCUUGAGUACGGAAGAGGCGAGUGGAAUUCCUGGUGUAGCGGUGAAAUGCGCAGAUAUCAGGAGGAACACCAAUGGCGAAGGCAGCUCGCUGGAACGGUACUGACGCUGAGGCGCGAAAGCGUGGGGAGCGAACAGG